CCUACGGGAGGCAGCAGUGGGGAAUUUUGGACAAUGGGCGAAAGCCUGAUCCAGCAAUGCCGCGUGAGUGAAGAAGGCCUUCGGGUUGUAAAGCUCUUUUGUCAGGGAAGAAACGGUGAAGGCUAAUAUCCUUUGCUAAUGACGGUACCUGAAGAAUAAGCACCGGCUAACUACGUGCCAGCAGCCGCGGUAAUACGUAGGGUGCAAGCGUUAAUCGGAAUUACUGGGCGUAAAGCGUGCGCAGGCGGUUUUGUAAGUCUGAUGUGAAAUCCCCGGGCUCAACCUGGGAAUUGCAUUGGAGACUGCAAGGCUAGAAUCUGGCAGAGGGGGGUAGAAUUCCACGUGUAGCAGUGAAAUGCGUAGAUAUGUGGAGGAACACCGAUGGCGAAGGCAGCCCCCUGGGUCAAGAUUGACGCUCAUGCACGAAAGCGUGGGGAGCAAACAGGAUUAGAUACCCUGGUAGUCCACGCCCUAAACGAUGUCUACUAGUUGUCGGGUCUUAAUUGACUUGGUAACGCAGCUAACGCGUGAAGUAGACCGCCUGGGGAGUACGGUCGCAAGAUUAAAACUCAAAGGAAUUGACGG
rnacentral:rRNA from 1 species